rnacentral:rRNA from 1 species
AGGAUAGAGGCCUACCAUGGUGGUAACGGGUAACGGGGUGUUAGGGCACGACACCGGAGAGGGAGCCUGAGAAACGGCUACCACAUCCAAGGAUGGCAGCAGGCGCGCAAAUUACCCAAUCCCGACACGGGGAGGUAGUGACAAUAAAUAACAAUACGGGGUUCUUUAGGAUCUCGUAAUUGGAAUGAGUACAAUUUAAAUCUCUUAACGAGGAACAAUUGGAGGGCAAGUCUGGUGCCAGCAGCCGCGGUAAUUCCAGCUCCAAUAGCGUAUAUUAAAGUUGUUGCAGUUAAAAAGCUCGUAGUUGAAUUUCGGGGUUAGUAGGUUGGUCAUGCCUCUGGUAUGUACUGGUCUCACUGAUUCCUCCUUCCUGAUGAACCGUACUGCCAUUAAUUUGGUGUUGCGGGGAAUUUGGACUGUUACUUUGAAAAAAUUAGAGUGUUUAAAGCAAGCUAACGCUUGAAUACAUUAGCAUGGAAUAAUGAAAUAGGACGUUCGAUCCUAUUUUGUUGGUUUCUAGGAUUGACGUAAUGACUAAUAGGGAUAGUUGGGGGCAUUAGUAUUCAAUUGUCAGAGGUGAAAUUCUUGGAUUUAUUGAAGACUAACUACUGCGAAAGCAUUUGCCUAGGAUGUUUUCAUUAAUCAAGAACGAAAGUUAGGGGAUCGAAGACGAUCAGAUACCGUCGUAGUCUUAACCAUAAACUAUGCCGACUAGGGAUCGGA